GACGUAGGGCGCGAGCGUUGUCCGGAUUUAUUGGGCGUAAAGAGCUCGUAGGCGGCUUGUCGCGUCGAAUGUGAAAUCUCAGGGCUCAACUCUGACAUUGCAUUCGAUACGGGCAGGCUAGAGUUCGGUAGGGGAGACUGGAAUUCCUGGUGUAGCGGUGAAAUGCGCAGAUAUCAGGAGGAGCACCGGUGGCGAAGGCGGGUCUCUGGGCCGAUACUGACGCUGAGGAGCGAAAGCGUGGGGAGCGAACAGG
rnacentral:rRNA from 1 species